rnacentral:lncRNA from 1 species
CAUGGCAAUGCCAGAUCCUUAACCCCGUGGGCGAGGCCAGGGAUUGAACCCACAUCCUCAUGGAUACUAGUCGGGUUUGUUACCACUGAGCCACGAUGGGAACUCCCAAGAAAGAAGGGUUUGAGGUGAGAGAUGCUUCUGUGCAGUAGGAUGACUCCCUGAUGCUCAGGGAGAGCCGACCCUGGGAGCAUGGUCACGUCUGGUUUUAUAGCCCAGGGAGAAGAGAGGUCUCAGGAUACUCCUGCGACCUGCUGAUUGGUUGGGAAAAGAGGGGUCUUGUGAUCACUUGCUGGUUGUUUGGAGUGUAUUAUGUCCCUGUAGGGGUGGAGUGAGGAGUGGGCUACAUCUCUUUCCUAGUAGCAGGUAGGAAGGAGUAGGCCCUGAUGCUCAAGGUGGGGGAAAGGGUAUUACGAUGAGAUGGGUGAGGCAGUGAUUAGGGUCUGGUAAUUCUUGUCUUGGCCAGAGGCUUUGAGUUCAAUCUCCUUGAAGGGGUCUUGAAGCCCAACAUCAGUCUAGGCCCAUUAAUGUGGGUCAUGCCAAAGGCCAAUCCAGUUUCCUGACCAAGAGCUAAGGGUUCCACCAGGACCACCAACUCCCUGCCAUGGAAAACCCCAGCCCUAUGCUCAGUGGGGUGUGCCCUUGUCCUAAGAGCCCACACAGCCAUCCCUGAAUAGGCAUCAUUGGAACAUUUCUCAGGGCACCAGGUCAUCACACGUAUACCCAGUUACACUGUUACAGCACUUAUCUGAAAGACCAAAGCAUGAAACUGAUCAAGGUGAAGCUUCUUUGGAAGAAGAAAGAGGGGUCUCUUUCUCUCCUGUCCAAUUUAACUUGCAGCAGCCCCUACAGAGCCUCUGAUAGGCACUUUAAAAGCCAUUGAUUCUAGCUCAAAUUCAUUUUGCCAGAUGGAGAAACUGAGAUCGAGGGUGGAAAAUGGCUGAUGCAAGAAUACACAGUGGGUUAGUAACAAAGCAGUCAUGGCAGGUAGCACUUCCCCACAUCAGUCCCUGCAGUGGAAUCCCAUCCCAUGUGCUCUUACGAUGUCAGAUCAACACUGUCAACCAGAGCAAGAGUUUAUGUUUCCAACCCAGAGGAAGAAGAGACCUACUCUCCCAGGAAGAACUCUUUGAAGCCAAGAUUCUCAGUCCGCAGAGGAUAUUCCAAAAUGUCCAGAGACAUUUUUGUUUGUCAUGACUGUUUGUCAUCCAUUGCAUGUAGUGGGUAAAUGCUGCUACACAUCCCCCAAUGCACAAGACACCCCCCCAUACACACAACAAAGAAUAGUCUGGAACCAAAGGUUAAUAGUGCUGAGGUUGAGAAAUCCUGUUUCAACCAUAACCAAUUAUGGGUAUAUUCCCCAGAAAAUGGCCAAGCAGAAACAGGAUACCACGUGCCUUCAAGUUACACUAGAAGGACAUAGAUAUCCCCAGAUUUAAGGAGAAAUCUAUGGUUCAUGAAUUCAAGGGGCUCAUUUCUUUCCAGACAAGAAAUAAGCAUUUAUCACCCUUUUGCGUCUGAAGGUAAGAACAACACACCCCCUCUAGAUAGGGUCUCCCUCAGCUGGAGGUGGGGGGAGAGCCGCAAAGAGGUAGUGAAGACUUUAUCGAGGGAAAAGUGAAGUGUACUGAUUAAAUAUUUGUCCUCAAAGAGUUUGUGGAGUAAACAUGCAAAUGAGGAUGGCUGUCCACACAAAUGAAUAUCCGAAUUUUUCCACCUACUUUCUCAGGAUGGAUCUCUAGAAGGGAUUACUGAUUCAGAGUGGUUUGUUUUAAGGCUCUGGAGAUAUUUUCCCAUGACUUUCUAAAAGUUUGACCCAAUAAAACUCCCACUAGCAGUGGAUGACGUACUUGGCUCACAGCUCUUGCCAAUAAUUUUUAUCUUUAAUCUUGGUUUAUUUAACAGGUUAAACAAAUACUCUUUGUUGUUUUAAUUAACUUCAGUAAGGCUAGCCGACUUUAUUUGCUUAUUGGCCACUUGUAUUUACUCUCCAGUGAAUUUCUCUCUGUGUUCAUUAGAGUUUACGGGUUUCUUUACUGAUUAGUGUGAACAUUUUUGUAUAUUAAGGGUAUGAAUCCUUUAUCAUAUUCCUAUACUUAGUUUUCUAAUUCCUCAUUUGUCUUUUGAAUUGUAUAAUAUUAUAAUUUUAUAAUAUUUUAUAACAUUGAAGAUUCUUAAAUUUUUUUAGCUAGUCAAACCCACUUAAUUCUUUCUGAUCUCUUCUAUAGAGUAGGAGUUCCUCUUUAAAUAAUCAGGUACAUGUUUUCCUACUUCAUGGUUUGAAGUAGGAAAACAUGUUUUGUAUGUAUAAUUUUGUAUGUAUAGUUUUAUGGACAUAUAAUUACGUAAAUAUUUAAAUAGUCUCAAUACAAAGCAGUAAUGGAAAUGGUAAAUAUACUGCCUAACUAGGGGUCAUACAGAAUGGAAAGACUCUGAUAUUGACAUCCUCACCUGAGAAUAAAUGGAGCCUCCAAUUUUAUUUGACUUAUUUUAUGUACUCAGGAGACAUUUUUAUUUAAAAAAUCAUUAUCAACAUCUACGACAUAGAAAGAAGUAUAAAGAAUAAUAUAAUAAACCCUCCUGUAACCCUUCCUUGCUCCAGGGGAGUAGUCAUGACCCUAAAUUUGCAUUUAUAAUUUCUCUGCAUUUCGUUUCACUUUGUACUGCUUAUAUAUGUAUUAUUAAGCAAAACAUACUUUUUCAUGUGAUACAUAUUUUCAUCAAUAUUCUACUUCAAAGGAUUAAUUUUGUUGAUAAAUUGGCACAUUUCACAAAAAGUAAUCUACAAAAAUGUCUAUUGCACUAUUACCAGUAAUAGAAAAAAAAACUGAUAUAACUUGAAUGGCUUGGGAUAGAAAACUAGAUAAAUAAUUCAUGGCAGACCCCAUACAAUUGAAUACUAUGGGGUCAUUUUUUUAAUUACAAGAUAUCGACAAUAAAUUGUUAAAUUAAAAAGCAAUCAAGUUGCAGACCAGUGUGUGGGAAAGAUCCACUCCCCAUCCUUCUGCACCCUGCCCUUUUCCCCUAGAGACUGUUUGUAUGGGCUAUGUCAGCAGACCUGUUCUCUGCCUUCCUAUUGUUUAAAAUAUCAGUUUCCUUUUCCUCUGUGACUUGUUCUUUUUUACUUCAUAUUAUGCUUGGUAGAGUCAUACAUAUGGAUGCAGAUAACAUCGAUACAUUGUUUUCACUGAUGCAUUUUAUGUGUUUUAACGUAUCAUCUUCUUAAUAGGCAUUCAGCCUCCCAUUUUUAAUCCUUUACACACUAUGCUGCUGUUAGUAUAUGUGUACCUCUAUCUCUAAACUUAUUUGCUAUUGUUGAUCACAAUUUCAACAGGAUAUUUUUAGGACUAGACAUAGUGAUUUUGUAGUUCUUCAGAAGAAAACACUUGAAAAACUCGGGGAAAACCAGAAAGACCUCCCAUAAAGAGUAAAGAAAAGAAUAUCAAGUAUUAAAAUAUUUUAUAAAGCUACAGUUAUCAAAACAAUUUUGUGUUGAUUCAGGAAUAGAGGGAACAGGAGAAUAGCUCAAAGAGCUCAAAAAUAAAUCCAAAUCUCUAUGAAAACUUGUGCAAUGUUAAAGGAAGUAUUUCAAACCAAUGAUUUUUUUAAAAAGUUAUUUAAUCAACAGCCUUGGUACAAUUGUUCAGCUAUUUGAUAAAACUAGGCUGGAUUCCUAUCCCAUUCCUAUAUAAAAAAAUUAAUUCUGGAGUUCACGUUGUGGCUCAGCAUGUUAAGAAGCCAACUAGUAUCGAUGAGGAUGCAAGUUUGAUCCCCAGCCUUGCUCAGUGGGUUAAGGAUCCAGCAUUGCCACAACCUGCACAGGUCACAGACGUGGCUGGGAUCCAUUACUGCUGUGGCCAUGGUGUAGGCUGGCAGCUGCAGCUCUGAUUUGACCCCUAGCCUGGCAACUUUCACAUGCUGCAGGUGCAACCGUAAAAACAAACAAACAAAAUUAAUUACAACUGGAUUAAAGAGAAAAGAAGGAAGGAAGGAAAUGAAACAGAGGAAAGAACAUAUGUUUAUAAUCUCAGAGUGAAAGAAAUCUUUUUAAGCAAGCUCUGAAAACAAGCAGUCAUAAAGAAAGAUAUUGACAAAUUAUAUUUGAUAAAAAGAAAUAUCUUUAAAAUAGCCAUGGUGGUGGCAGGAGCACAAAAUCAAAAGUCAAAGAUCUGUGAGGGAAAGUUUUGCAAAUCAUAUGACAGAUACAGGGCAAACUUCCUUAACAGACAAAGAGCUCUUACAAACUAAUAUAGCAAACCUUAAACCUACAAUGAAAAGACAAGUAACAGAUUUCAAAUAGUGUGUGUGCAUGGGCACAUGCACACAAACACACACACAGUAAAAUUGUCAGAGAACAUACAACAAUGUCAACUUAACUCAUAGUGAAAUCCAAUAUAGCCUGCUUUCCUAUAAGAAUGGCAAGGAUCUGAAGGACAGAUGAUACCCAGUGUGGUGAGGGAUUAGCAAAAAGCUGAUGGUAGAGCAUGAGCUGGGAUGAUUUGAUAGAAUUUCUAUACAUUUAAAAACUACAUACUCUUCAAAUCAAUAAUUUUACUUCAAGUAUUCAUUUUGUUGAUAAACGGAUACAACUACAUAAAAAUUAAUCAAAAAAAAUUUCCAUUGUGCCAUUACCAGUAAUAGAAAAAAAAUCUGAUAUAAUUUGAAUGGUUUGGGUAGGCAACUAGAUAAGUAAUUCAUUCAACCCAUAUAGUUGAAUGCUGUAGGGUUGUUUUUUAAAUUACGAUAUGUUUGGAGUUCCCACCGUGGUUCACUAGAAAUUAAUCUGACUAGCAUCCAUUAGGACAUGGGUUGGAGCCCUGGCCUUACUCAGUGGGUUAAGGAUCCGGUGUUGCUGUGAGCUGUGGUAUAAUUUGCGGAUGUGAUUCGAAUCCGGCAUUGCUGUGGAUGUGGUGUAUGCCAGCAGCUACAGCUUGGAUUCAUCCCCUAGCCAGGAACUUCCUUAUGUUGC